AUGUGGGACCAACAGCCUUGGGGUGUUCAUUCACAGUACUGACAGAGUGUGGACAUCGACUGUGCAAGCUUCUCCCACACUGCCCCAUCAGUGUACUUCAACCCUGCGCUGGAGACACCUUGUUUAGAGGCUGAAGGGGAGUUCAACUUCCAUACAGGCCUGGCCCUCU
rnacentral:sRNA from 1 species